GUUGAACGCUAGCUACAGGCCUAACACAUGCAAGUCGAGCGACCGGCGCACGGGCGAGUAAUACGUAUACAAUCCGCCUUUCACUCGGGGACAGCCUUUCGAAGGAAAGAUUAAUACCUGACAUAAAGGAUGGGGGUGAGUUCCACUAGGUUGUUGGUGAGGUACUGGCUAAACAAGCCCUCGAUGGAUAGGGGUUCGGAGAGGAAGCACCCCCGCAAUGAAACUGAGACACGAUCCAAACUGCGACGAGAGGGAGGGGUGAGGAGUAUUUGUCGAUGAGCGCUAGCCUGAACAAGCCAAGUAGGGUGAAAGGGGAUGGGUUGUAGUUCUUAAUCUUCUUUUAUGUAAGAGAAGGUAUUUUAUGAAUAAGGAUCGGCUAACUACGUGCCAGCAGCCGCGGUAAUAC
rnacentral:rRNA from 1 species